UCUACGGGUGGCAGCAGUGGGGAAUAUUGCACAAUGGGGGGAACCCUGAUGCAGCGACGCCGCGUGGGUGAAGGAGUAUUUCGGUAUGUAAAGCCCUAUCAGCAGGGAAGAACAAUGACGGUACCUGACUAAGAAGCACCGGCUAAAUACGUGCCAGCAGCCGCGGUAAUACGUAUGGUGCAAGCGUUAUCCGGAUUUACUGGGUGUAAAGAGAGCGUAGGCGGCACUACAAGUCUCAUGUGAAAUACCCGGGCUUAACUUGGGGGUUGCAUGGGAAACUGUAGAGCUUGAGUACAGGAGAGGCAAGCGGAAUUCCUAGUGUAGCGGUGAAAUGCAUAGAUAUUAGGAGGAACACCAGUGGCGAAGGCGGCUUGCUGGACUGAAACUGACGCUGAGGCUCGAAAGCGUGGGGAGCAAACAGGAUUAGAUACCCUAGUAGUC
rnacentral:rRNA from 1 species